AUCAUAGAAUUCAAUACAAUGAUCAAAAACAAUGAACGCAAAACAACAAAUCAAAUAGUCAUAGAAUUCUGUUUACUGAUAAAUAACAAAGAUAAAGCAGUAAGUAGUGCAAUGUCUGAUUUUUCAUUCAUUUACUUACUGAGAAAAAGUAGCAGAUUGUCAAAUAAUUUAAAAAUCACAUAUAAUGCGAAUUGUUCUUUAUUAUUAUUGUUUCCAGCGUUUUCUCAGAAAUAAAACGGAACCCAA
rnacentral:misc_RNA from 1 species